GACGAACGCUGGCGGCGUGCCUAAUACAUGCAAGUAGAACGCAGUUGCGAACGGGUGAGUAACGCGUAGGUCACUCCCUGGUAGAGGGGGAGAACUAUUGGGAACGCUAGCUAAUACCGCAUACUGCCAGAGGGAUCUGCGUUGUAUUAGAUAGUUGGUGGGGUAACGGCUCACCAAGGCAAGGAUCCAUAGCCGACCUGAGAGGGUGAUCGGCCACACUGGGACUGAGACACGGCCCAGACUCCUACGGGAGGCAGCAGUAGGGAAUCUUCGGCAAUGGACGGAAGUCUGACCGAGCAACGCCGCGUGAGUGAAGAAGGUUUUCGGAUCGUAAAGCUCUGUUGUAAGAGAAGCGGUAUCUUACCAGAAAGGGACGGCUAACUACGUGCCAGCAGCCGCGGUAAUUC
rnacentral:rRNA from 1 species